ensembl:lncRNA
AAAGAGAGGUGUAGAGGAAAGAGAGGUGUAGAGGAAAGAGAGGUGUAGAGGAAAGAGAGGUGUAGAGAGGAAAGAGGUGGAGGAAAGAGAGGUGUAGAGGAAAGAGAGGUGUAGAGGAAAGAGGUGGACAGGAAAGAGAGGAGGACAGGAAAGAGAGGAGGACAGGAAAGAGAGGUGUGGAGAGGAAAGAGAGGUGGAGGUGAAAGAGAGAUGGAGAGGAAAGAGAGAUGGAGAGGAAAGAGAGGUGGAGAGGAAAGAGAGAUGGAGAGGAAAGAGAGGUGGAGAGGAAAGAGAGGUGGAGAGGAAAGAGAGAUGGAGGUGAAAGAGAGAUGGAGAGGAAAGAGAGAUGGAGAGGAAAGAGGCGGAGAGGAAAGAGGCGGAGAGGAAAGAGGCGGAGAGGAAAGAGAGGUGGAGAGGAAAGAGAGAUGGAGAGGAAAGAGAGAUGGAGGUGAAAGAGAGGUGGAGAGGAAAGAGAUGGAGGUGAAAGACAGAUGGACAGGAAAGACAGGUGGAGGUGAAAGAGAGAUGGAGGUGAAAGAGAGAUGGAGGUGAAAGAGAGAUGGAGGUGAAAGAGAGAUGGAGAGGAAAGAGAGAUGGAGAGGAAAGAGAGAUGGAGGUGAAAGAGAGGUGGAGGUGAAAGAGAGAUGGAGGUGAAAGAGAGAUGGAGGUGAAAGAGAGAUGGAGGUGAAAGAGAGAUCAGGGUGAAAGAGAGAUGGAGGUGGAGGUGAAAGAGAGGUGGAGGUGAAAGAGAGGUGGAGGUGAAAGAGAGGUGAAAGAGAGAUCGAGGUGAAAGAGAGGUGGAGGUGAAAGAGCGUGGACAGGAAGGAGAGGUCGAGGUGAAAGAGGUCGAGUUGAAAGAGGUGGAGAGGAAGGAGAGGUAGAGAUGAAAGAGGUGGACAGGAAGGAGAGGUGGAGAUGAAGGAGAGGUAGACAGGAAGGAGAGGUAGACAAAGGAGAGGUAGACAGGAAGGAGA